UGACGUCCCUUGCGUGAUCCAUCUACAAGGAAGAGGGGGACAGACAGGAGAGAGAGAGAGAGGAGGGGCAUUGUGCAGAUACAAUUAAGAAGUAGAUAAUUGGUCCUUUUAGAUCAAUGUAUGUUUUCUCGUAGGCGGCUAUAAAUAAAGGUUACGAUGCAGUUCAUGCUGCUUUUCAGUCGCCAGGGGAAGCUGAGGCUCCAGAAGUGGUAUGUCCCGCUGUCAGACAAGGAGAAGAAAAAGAUCACCAGGGAACUCGUGCAGACAGUAUUGGCCCGGAAACCCAAAAUGUGCAGCUUCCUGGAGUGGCGUGACCUCAAGAUUGUUUACAAAAGGUAUGCUAGCUUGUACUUCUGCUGUGCAAUUGAAGAUCAGGAUAAUGAACUCAUAACUCUUGAGAUAAUUCACCGUUACGUAGAGCUGCUGGAUAAAUACUUUGGCAGUGUGUGCGAACUUGACAUAAUCUUUAACUUCGAAAAGGCGUACUUUAUCCUGGAUGAGUUCCUGCUGGGUGGUGAAGCUCAGGAGACCUCGAAGAAAAAUGUCUUGAAAGCCAUCGAGCAGGCAGACCUGUUGCAGGAGAGCCAGAAUGAAGACUGGGGAAGUAUAUCAACCGACGAUGUCUUAUAAUUGGGAGAGAUCUGAGGCUUUGACCUCUUAUGCUCCCCAUCCCCCUUCCAGACUAUUGCCCCGUCAUGAGUAUUUUAAUGUCCCUGUGUACUAAAUGGCUCUGCUGCUCAUCCUGCAUGCUGAAUUCCCACGGCACUAGAGGGCUGCUUCCUUAUUGGCACGACGCUGUCUUGGCUCUGGGGUCCCUGAAAAUCCGUCCAUUCAAGCAAAAAAUGCACAUUCUGUCACUGCUACUACGUCAUUUAUGUAUUAUCAUUUUUUUUUCUUCCUCCAUCUUCUUGCUGAAUGCUGUGCCAGAGAAUCUACAUUACAUGCAUUAUGUGCUGUAUGUAUGUGCUCUGUUUUAAGCUGUUGGUCUGUUUUCUUGGAUAUUAGUGUGGUGUAUUUUCAUGGACAUUUAGUUAUGUUUUGUAGAACUGAAAUAUUUUUAAAUGCAUGUUUAGUGGAUAUUUUACUUUGCUUAAAUGUCCUUAGGCCAGACCAUAUUUGGGUUGGGGAGGACACAACACCUAUUGUUUUGUUUCAGUUUGAGAAAAUGGUCUAAGGGAGCAUAAACAUUAGUGAAGAGGGGUAUAGGAAAUGCUGAGAUACCAUAACAAAUGUGUAACUGAAAAAGGAAUACUUAACAGACUAUUUUAAUUAUAUACAAUAUACAUAUUUUUAUAUAGAUAAUUUCUUAAUCAAUGUGCAUCUGGUUUCACAGAUUUACUGUAGCACUAAGAUUAGUUCUAAUUUGGGUCUUUGAAACUAGCUUUCAAUGUACACAUUUGAAUUCUUAAUGGAUUUUAGUAAUGCUAAGAAUUAAAACCAACAUUAACUCACUUUAAGUAGAAUUUUAUUAAAGCCAGAUAUAUUUAUAGUAAGUGGGGGUGGGGAGAGCUUAACCUUCUUUUAAAUGUAUCCCUGCAUUCUUUUCCCUGCAUUUCUGUUUCAUUGAAAUUUUGCACAUGGGCUGUACUGGGGUUAUCUAUUCUGCCGUGUCAUUAUAUAGGCUUUAAUCUUAAGGUUUUGCUCAUUCCUCAGUCUGUCUUAAUAAAGUACUGCAUGUAACAUCUCUAUUUAUUUCUGUGAAUGGCUUUUGUCUUUUAUAUGUAAAAAAAAUAAAAAUCAUGAUAACAUCUAUCAAAGGAAAAAUAUAACUAGGGCUUCUGUUUUUCGGUUUAUUCAUUUAAUUUCUUGUGUUUUAAUUUUAGCUAUUUUAGUUAUGUAGAUACCCUGCAAUUAUUUUUUACCUCUUCCUGACAGUAGGUCUGCACUUUUAACUACACAUUUACCAUAAAAAGCAGCUAAUACAAUGAUUAUAAAAAACACUAGCCAUUAAUGGAAGGAAUUGUCAUUUUCCUUCAGACUAAUCCCAAUGUAGUCAGAAUAGUACAGUGUGUAUGAAGUCAACAACUGUAAUGUCCGUCUUCAAGCAAAAUGGAAGACAGAAAAAUAAUUUAUUUCCACUGGUAGAAGAAACUGACUCGAAACGAUACACAGUUUAAUCUGUACUCUUAUCCAACGCUGCAAACAGCCGUGCCUAAUAAAUAAAACAAAAACCGUCAAAGUGUGAGUAUUAUGAUUAUUAUUUAUGUUUACCGGAGCAUUUCUACUUCUUAAAAAAAUGCAGAACGAUUAUGCUUCACUGAUUUAGUAUUCAGUUAUACAAUUAAUCAAUUAAAUAUUUGAAAACUGCAAUGUUCAUGAGCAUCACAGAGCACUCUGUAGACAGAAUCACCAGACGUCUGCUUCACCCACCCUAUAUCGGAGUGGAAAUCAACUCAAUCUAAAUCAUGAGUGCGUACAGGGGGAUGAUAACUUUGAAACUACACUAUACUAACCUUUGAGCUGCUAAACACAUUUUUCUUUUACUUUUUUAUUUUAUUUUUGCAUUUCUGAGUCGUCCUGCGUACCCCCUGUAACCCUUAGAAGUACCCCUGGUUGAAAACCCCUGUCCUUGGUCAUUUCACCUGGACAGUGAAGUUCUCUCCAACUUUCUUUCCUAAUGAUGGAUUGCUUUACAGCCAGUGACCAUGACCUUUUCUAGACAAGGACUCCAAAAACCCUGAACAAAUGUAAGGAAUUAUUUUUCAGGUGUAAGAUUACCAUCAGUAACACAUUUUAGUUCUCCUAAUAAACGUGAUACCUACUCGGGGAGAACACUUAGAGCAAAACUGUAUAAUGCUCAUCCUGAUAUCUUCAAACAAAUAACCAUCAAGAUAUUCAACCAUUCAUCAUUUACUGAAUAAAUACAUUGAAAAUAAAUGCAUUUUAAUGAUAGAAAGGAGUCCUAUACAUUAGAAAGUAGUCUAAUCUUUUUAAAGAGCUGUGUCCAUCUUGCACACUUUCUAAGUGAGUUGUCCGAGAGAAAGAAUGGCAAAUACUAUUAAAAAUGCUUAAAAUGUUCUUUAAAGUUUCACAACCCUCUCCCCCAUCAAGAUUAAAACUAAAAUGUACAGCUGCCAAGAGCGUUCUUGAUUUCCAAGAGUAGUUGAAAAACACUGCUGCAAACGCUGGGCCUACUUGCUGUAACAUAUAAAACUCAUUUAACGGUUUCAGGAGGAUCAUGGCUAUUUAAAUGCAUAGUUAAAUACCCAUUUUGGCAUUAAGUCAGCCAUUAGCUUAUUGCUUUGUUAUGUGAACUACCCAAUAUCUUAAACGAUAUUAAGUUUGUAACUGUAGAUGUUUGUGUGCUUCAGACCAUUUUUUCAGUCCAUUACACACUUUUCUUUCAAUGUAAUAAUGUAUGAUGAAUGUAUGAUGUUGCGUUUUACAGUGUGCAUGACACAGUGGGUAAAAGAGCAACCUUUCCCUCCAGCGAGGUUCAUCAGGUUUAUAGUUACAGACAAGGGCUGAAAUGGACACGCUGUAAAGUUAUCCAAGGGGUUUUUAAAGUCAGUAUUUACAUAAAAAAGAAAGAUAAUUAUUUAGCAGUGUGUGGUGUCUUAUGUCAAAAACAUGACAGCAGACAAAGUGUUAUAUUGGAGAGAGAACUUAUGGCAGAAGCUUUUUGGUAAUAUUAAGCUUAAAAAUGCUUUCCAAAUAUAGUAUUAUUAAUGUACCACCAAUAUAUGCUAAAAUAAAUUGUAUUGUGCUUUCAUUCUCCAGUGUGUAAACAUUUGAUUCUUUGUGACUUUCUUGUGCUGAUGCAAUUCUUCUCUUUGCUUUGUGGCAAACCUCAUGUUAGGAUGCUAAAGAAAUGGAGACCCCACGCAGCGUUCUUGAAGAGAUUGGACUGACAUAACCCUGCACUUCUAUCCCAACACACUAUUUGUUUACUGCCUUUGUUUCCAUGUAACGCUAGAUAUAUUAUGGUUGUCAGUAUUAACAUCCAUCUUGCCCACUACUAUUAUUUCUUAUGUAUACAUGAGAUUGUAUUUCCCCACAAGAUUAGUAUGAGGAACAAAGCGAUUACCAGAAGAUUUUUUUUUUUUUUAAAUACUGCCUUAAGAUAUUUGAACAUCAGUUUAUAAAUGUAUUGGUACUCUAGUGUAGGAGAAAACAUAUUUCAGGGCAUCUUAAGGGUUUACAACCAACGAACACUGUGCUAGUAUUUAAUUAAUAUUAUUUUACUUUUUUUUUAAACUAUUAUACAAAAAUAAAACAUUUUGUAUAGACCAGUGUUUUAGAAUAUCAAAAACUGGACAUAUAUAUGGAGGUGUGAAAGGAAUUUGUUAAUGAAACCAAAGAAUUCUAACUGUUGUAAUUUUUUCCUUAGGCAGAUUUAUUACUAUGGGUAAAAACUAUGAGCUGUGUAUAUGGAAGCAAAUAUCUUUUCUCAAUUAUGGUGUGAACCCGAAAGUACAACUAAAUGUUCAAGACUACUGCCUGAGACAUGUUUUGAAAUAUGUCUUAUUGUAUGCAUUUUGUUGUUAAUAACUAACCAUCAGUAACCUCAUAUCAAAAUAUGGUUUUCACAAGUUACAUUUUUAGUUUAUUUCUUUUUUAACCCUACAUUAAUUCAGCAAAACCUUGUGUGUAUUUCCAUGAGAUAGUCUGUUUAUUAAUGUAGUUAAUCUCACCCUCACCCUCCUGCUGGAACAAACCAAUUUGGGUUUACACUUAGUCAUCACCUUGUAUGUUAUGCAGUGAAAAGCUGAGGUGUGUGUUGUUUUGUACUCCUGUCUCUGUGAACAAUGUGUUGCAAUGUUUGGUGUUCAAAUGGAAAUAAAGUUUAUUUACAUCUUGA